GACGAACGCUGGCGGCGUGCUUAACACAUGCAAGUCGAACGGAAAGGCCCUGCUUUUGUGGGGUGCUCGAGUGGCGAACGGGUGAGUAACACGUGAGUAACCUGCCCUUGACUUUGGGAUAACUUCAGGAAACUGGGGCUAAUACCGGAUAGGAGCUCCUGCUGCAUGGUGGGGGUUGGAAAGUUUCGGCGGUUGGGGAUAGACUCGCGGCUUAUCAGCUUGUUGGUGGGGGAGUGGCUUACCAAGGCUUUGACGGGUAGCCGGCCUGAGAGGGUGACCGGCCACAUUGGGACUGAGGUACGGCCCAGACUCCUACGGGAGGCAGCAGUGGGGAAUAUUGCACAAUGGGCGGAAGCCUGAUGCAGCAACGCCGCGUGCGGGAUGACGGCCUUCGGGUUGUAAACCGCUUUCGCCUGUGACGAAGCGUGAGUGACGGUAAUGGGUAAAGAAGCACCGGCUAACUACGUG
rnacentral:rRNA from 1 species